UACGUAGGGGGCAAGCGUUAUCCGGAUUUACUGGGUGUAAAGGGGGCGCAGACGGCGAUGCAAGCCAGGAGUGAAAGCCCGGGGCCCAACCCCGGGACUGCUCUUGGAACUGCGUGGCUGGAGUGCAGGAGGGGCAGGCGGAAUUCCUGGUGUAGCGGUGAAAUGCGUAGAUAUCAGGAGGAACACCGGUGGCGAAGGCAGCUUACCAGACUGCGACUGACGCUGAAGCACGAGAGCGUGGGUAGCGAACAGG
rnacentral:rRNA from 1 species